rnacentral:lncRNA from 1 species
GCAGGUCAAACAGUCGCUGCACGAGUCCGACAGCGAGCCCGGCGUCAGCCAGACGCACUUCACCAAGCCCUGCUCGUACACCAGGGAGCAGAUCAUUGAGAUGAUGGAGUUCCUCAUGCUGAGUCCCGCUCCGCUGUCCUGGGAGCCGGUGGAGCUCCUGCCCAGCUGUCCUGCGUUCCUCUGAUGCUGCACCUCAUCUCCUCCGCCUCCAGCUGGACCAACUACUCCGGCAGGAGCGACACGGUGCGAUACGUCCUGGACAUCCUGUCCGUCCUGAUGCUGGUUACCCGGGUCCAGCCGGUUCUGGGGGAACCGGUGGAGCCGUACGAGAGCCGGCGGGCCAUCGGCUCCGUGGGUCAGUGACCACCUCCAGGAGCGUCCUCUGUCAGCGUCUCUCUCUCUCUCUCUCUCUCGCUGAGCCCUUCCUCUCUCUGCUGCAGGUAUGAGCAUCGUUCU